GGCGUGAUUGGAUUGCACAGGAGAUCUCAAAUCGUGAUUAGAUCCCAAACGUCGUGUGAUCUAAUCUCUAACUGCUUUGGGGUAGUCUGGGUAUUUCCUUUACAAAGGUCAGAUUCGCUAUGGAAGACCUAAUCACGUGGGAGGCUUGGCCUAUAUAAAGGCAGCCCUUUCCCUGUGUCCCCGUGGCCUCAUCUUCGAUUUGGGGAUCUGGAGCUGGACUCUGGCUCGAUCUACAAGGCGUUUUCGCAUGCUCCUCUCUUUUGCCUUGUGUUAUUUCUUUCUUUUUCUCUUGGAUUUUGUCAUUUAGAUGGAUAAUGUUGGAUUUGUUCUCUUGUUUGUUCAAUUUUGUAAAUUUCUCCGUUUGAUUGUUCGAUCAUGUCUCUUGAUUAUUCUCUUAGAUCUGAAAUAUAUAUUUUUUUGCCUCCUUCUCUUUUAUCUUAACAUUAUGUGGUUCUAGAUCUGCUCUCACACCUUUAAGCAUAUUGACAUCUUCUCUCAACAUCAUCCUCUUCCGUGCUCGAUGCGAUUGGGGCCAUAAUCGCUCGCCGCGCCUUCAAGAACCUUUGAAGCAUCUGACAUUCUCAAACCCUAAUAUUGGUUCAGAUCUGUCAAGACCCCUAAAGUUGGUGAUGAAGAAUUAAGGCAAUGACAUAUGAAAAGAUGAAUCUGCAACAGAUUUCAAGAAAUCCCUGACAAUAUCAGCAAGCCAACGGGGAAGAGUGCCAAUGCUCCUUCAGAAUCUCCACGGCAUGAUCAACGGCAUAUAUUAUCAUCUUCUUCACCUGCGCCAAAUAGAAGGUAAGGUUGUCAAGUAAUGGUUCAUGGUUAUCGAUGCAAUUAUUUACAAGUAAAAUUAGUCAAUAUGCAUCGGAAAAGAUAAUGUGUGUUCUUUGUUGCAACAUACAUCAAAAUUCAAAUCGUAUGAUCAGCCCUAAAUUUCGGCCCAACUAAAAGCCCACCUGAAACAGUACCACUCUGAUGCCCUAAUCCACUCUUCUCUAGAAAUUACAUAUCUUUGCAAAAGUUACCCCAAAAUGCAUUAGUGCCGACACGUGGUGGGUUUUCUCUACAAAUUUACGGGGUUUUUUUACCAUCGGAGGAGAAAAGGCAUGUUAUCUCUAAAUUUAAAAAUGUUUUCACCUUGCAUUUCCUUUCAUUACGCGUUUGAUAGCCUGCAUACAGCCCAGGCCCACUGGAUGCAGCUUUUUUGGUUAUAUGCAAACACAGUUGGGCCUGCACGGCACGAUAGUAUCCAGCAGGCCCGAGUUAUGCUCUCGAGCCCACGUGGAUGACUCUGACAACACUUUGCAGGUAUUUUCCUAUAAUCACCUUUUAAUCUCCUUCAUCGCUUCUACAUAAUCAUGCUUCGAUUCAGGAAAAGUUAUACACAAAAAAUAUGCACCUCGAUGUUCUAAUUCCAUUCAAGCGAUCGGAUCAUAGUUUCGUUCACUGUAUGUGUUGAAUUUCGUGUUCAUAUUUGAAUCUUUUUUGGACAAACUUUGACAAAUUCAUGGCAGACGGUUGACCGUUUGAAGUUUCCUUUGACUAGUAGCUUCACCUUGCUGUCUGACACAACUUUCGUGUUGUGGGUUUUUCAUUUCACAAAUCAUAGAUGAAUAGAUCUACAUACGACCAGUGUACUGUAAUCACUGUAAUCGAUUCCUAAUCACCCUCCUAUUCUCCUUCAUUCGUAAUCUCGUUCACCAGUCUCUUCUAAUCUACACAACCGUGCAUCGAUUUGAUAUAAGUUGUACAUGAAAAAGAUGCACGGCGUUGUUGUGGUUCCAUUCAGACAAUUGGUUCGUAAUGUAGAUGUUCAAUUUCGUGUUUAUGUUUGAAGCUAUUUUGGAUGAAUUUCGAUACAUUCAUCAUGUACUGUUCACCGUUUGAGUUUUCCUUCGAUGGUAGGGAUUGAAGAACUGCCAUGGCCAACCUGGUACUUUGUGAAGGCGUGUGUGCGCCGUAGUCAGCAUCGUCGCCGACCUUGUGCCAUGCGGGAAGCUUCGAUGGCAUCUCGCCGCCAGUCUCGUUCUACAAUUAGGUGUGGCUGCCGGCGUCGGCUUGUUUGGCUUUAGUUGCGACGUGGAGGUAGCCCUUGUGCCCUGCCUCUGCUGGUACACCGACAUCGACCAGUAGUCAUGCCCCUGGUUGUCGUAGUCGUCCCGCCUGUGGUCACCGAAGCACUCGUGUGCAUUCUACUGUAAUCUCUAUGUUCAAGUGUAGUUAUCAACUCCUAAUCACCAUACAUGUAUGCAACCAAACAUCAGGUGAAAUUUGUUUUCAUGAUGACAAGACCUCAUAUGCAGGCAACCAAACAACAUGCAAACGUCGUGUUUUACCCUGUGUUUCCUCAA